rnacentral:rRNA from 1 species
CCCACCUCAGUAGGGAUCGAGGGUUGCAACUCGCCCUCGUGAACGCGGAAUCCCUAGUAACCGCCCGUUACCACCGGGCGGUGAAUACGUCCCCGCUCCUUGCACACACUGCCCGUCGCUGCAUCCGAGCUGGGACUGGGCGAGGGCCAGUCUCGUUGGCUGGUUCGAGCCCGGUCCUGGUGAGGAGGCAGAAGUCGUAACAAGGUGGCCGCACGGGAACGUGUGGCCGGAUCACCUCCA